rnacentral:rRNA from 1 species
AUUGAACGCUGGCGGCAGGCCUAACACAUGCAAGUCGAGCGGAUGAAGGGAGCUUGCUCCUGGAUUCAGCGGCGGACGGGUGAGUAAUGCCUAGGAAUCUGCCUGGUAGUGGGGGAUAACGUCCGGAAACGGGCGCUAAUACCGCAUACGUCCUGAGGGAGAAAGUGGGGGAUCUUCGGACCUCACGCUAUCAGAUGAGCCUAGGUCGGAUUAGCUAGUUGGUGGGGUAAAGGCCUACCAAGGCGACGAUCCGUAACUGGUCUGAGAGGAUGAUCAGUCACACUUGAACUGGGACACGGUCCAGACUCCUACGGGAGGCAGGAGUGGGGAAUAUUGGACAAUGGGCGGAAGCCUGAUCCAGCCAUGCCGCGUUUGUGAAAAAGGUCUUCGGAUUGUAAAGCACUUUAAGUUGGGAGGAAAGGCAGUAAGGUAAUACCUUGCUUGUUUGACGUUACCAACAGAAUAAGCACCGGCUAACUUCGUG